UACGGAGGGGGCGAGCGUUGUCCGAAUUUACUGGGCGUAAAGGGCGUGUAGGCGGUCGGCCAAGUCUGAUGUGAAAGCCCGAGGCUCAGCCUCGGAAGUGCGUCGGAAACUAGUCGGCUGGAGCGCGAUAGAGGAGGGUGGAAUUCCUGGUGUAGCGGUGAAAUGCGUAGAUAUCAGGAGGAACACCGGCGGCGAAGGCGGCCCUCUGGAUCGUUGCUGACGCUGAGACGCGAAAGCGUGGGGAGCAAACAGG
rnacentral:rRNA from 1 species